UUCCGGUUGAUCCUGCCGGACCUGACUGCUAUCGGAUUGAUACUAAGCCAUGCGAGUCUUUGUAGUAAUACAAGGCAGACGGCUCAGUAACGCGUAGUCAACCUACCCUAUGGACGGGAAUAAUCUCGGGAAACUGAGCAUAAUACCCGGCGUACCACCAUUCCUGGAAUGGUUGGUGGUUAAAAUGAUUCGUCGCCGUAGGAUGGGACUGCGACCUAUCAGCUUGUUGGUGAGGUAAAGGCCCACCAAGGCGAUUACAGGUACGGGCUCUGAGAGGAGAAGCCCGGAGAUGGGUACUGAGACACGGACCCAGGCCCUAUGGGGCGCAGCAGGCGAGAAAACUUUGCAAUGUGCGAAAGCACGACAAGGUUAAUCCGAGUGAUUUCUGCUAAAGGAAUCUUUUGCCAGUUCUAAAAAUACUAGUGAAUAAGGGGUGGGCAAGUUCUGGUGUCAGCCGCCGCGGUAAAACCAGCACCUCAAGUGGUCAGGAGGAUUAUUGGGCCUAAAGCAUCCGUAGCCUGCUCUGUAAGUUUUCGGUUAAAUCUAUAUGCUCAACAUAUAGGCUGCCGAAAAUACUGCAGUGCUAGGAAGUGGGAGAGGUAGACGGUACUUGAUAGGAAGGGGUAAAAUCCUUUGAUCUAUCGAUGACCACCUGUGGCGAAGGCGGUCUACCAGAACACGUUCGACGGUGAGGGAUGAAAGCUGGGGGAGCAAACCGGAUUAGAUACCCGGGUAGUCCCAGCUGUAAACGAUGCAGACUCGAUGAUGCAUUGGCAUAUAGCCAGUGCAGUGUCGCAGGGAAGCCGUUAAGUCUGCCGCCUGGGAAGUACGUACGCAAGUAUGAAACUUAAAGGAAUUGGCGGGGGAGCACCACAAGGGGUGAAGCCUGCGGUUCAAUUGGAUUCAACGCCGGG
rnacentral:rRNA from 1 species